rnacentral:rRNA from 1 species
UACGAAGGGGGCUAGCGUUGUUCGGAAUUACUGGGCGUAAAGCGCACGUAGGCGGACUAUUAAGUCAGGGGUGAAAUCCCGGGGCUCAACCCCGGAACUGCCUUUGAUACUGGGUAUCUCGAGUCCGAGAGAGGUGAGUGGAAUUCCGAGUGUAGAGGUGAAAUUCGUAGAUAUUCGGAGGAACACCAGUGGCGAAGGCGGCUCACUGGCUCGGUACUGACGCUGAGGUGCGAAAGCGUGGGGAGCAAACAGG